UGGGUUGGCGCCCAGACCACACAUCGCCAGCAAAACGGAGGGCACGCUGACUCACUUCACUGCCACUACUAGUUCACUUCCUUCGGAUCUCGCUCGUGCCUCCAAGCUCUCUUCCACGGCCUCGAAGAUGUCGACGGUGACCCCUGCCUACCUCGACCAGAGGCUCACCGCCGCCAAGCGCUGCUCCAGAGAGGCUGCCAUAGCGGGAACCAAGGCCGCGGCCGUCGCCACCGUCGCUGCCGCAGUCCCCACCCUGGCGAGGAGAGGCAUUUGGAUGCUCUAGCUCACCUCCUAUGCACACGAGGUGUUCGAUGAAAUGCCCAAGCCACGCUAGUUAAGCUUUCUCCUCUCGAAGUUCGACCUCCAAACUCCAUUUUCCCUAAGAUUUGUCUAGGUUUAGCAGUCCGUCACGUCCCGUCCCUGUCUUUACCGCCACCGAUCGCCCGCGCCGAUCUCGUCACCUGCACCACUGUGUGCGAUGGUUUUGGUAUCCGCCCCCGUCGGCCCUCGUCCUGGCUAUGAUUCGGAUGUGG